AGGGCGACGCGGGGCGCCCCCUGGGGCCCGGCGCGGGCGGGGGCGCGCCCCCUUUACCUGCGGCUCCGGCUCCUCGGCCAUUUCCUCGCUCGGCGGCGGCCGGGACUGAACUGACACCACACGAGCGAGCCGAGAUUAUUUCCUCAGAGAUGCUCCUGGCUACACACAGAGGCGUGAAAACUAAGACCCGCAGUCCUUUACCUCAAUGGACGUCUUCCGGUCCUGGCGUCCAGGGCACGGCCACGGAAUCAGAAAUGUCACUGAUGAGGACACCUGCCACUGGGCUCCUGCCAUCUUAUCAAUCUCCGCCCUUUUUGUCGUUACUGCCUUUCUCAGAAAGGUGAAACCGCGGCCUGCCUGAGGUCCCAGGCCUCAGUGCGUGUCCCGUCUCCCAGACUACACUGAGGCCAGCCCCCGCUCUGUCACCGACCUAAAUGUCCUUCGUUUCUAAAAAUGCACACUGACAUACAUUGCUGGACACCCCAUUUCCUGAACGCUCUCCAGGCGGCGUGUGUGGUCUGGGCCAGGAGGAAGGUCCUCCCCUCGGCCCGUUGCUGGAACAGCGAGAGUCCACUCGGUGUGGCCCGGGUCUGGUCCCCUCCCCCCAGGCCCUCCCUCGCCUUCUUGCUGUACCUGUGGGCUUACCCACCUUCCCCAACAGGCUGCACCUCCUCUUUGAGGGCAGGGGAGAAAGGCUGUGCAAACUCAUGUCCCCAAAGCCAUUAGCAGUGUUUAUUGCAUAGAAGGGGGAGGCAAUAAAUGUUUAAAAACUG